UCCCUUCAUCCAUCUGCAGAAGAGAAAGGGCCAUACUUUGACUAUAAAGGCCAAAGGCCAAAUUCUUAUGUUCCGUGAACUCUGACAGCGGGGCUGAGGACACAUGACAUAAGGAAAAGAAAGACGCCAGGGGUAUGUGCCCACAGAGAAAAGACCAUAUGAGAACACAGAAUUCAGUCAUCUGUAAGCCAAAGAGAGAAACCAACCCUACCAGUUCCUUGAUCGUGGACUCCAGCCUCCAAAACUCCUCUGUAAGACCGUCAUUGAGGUAAGUUGAUAAAAUCCAUAAUUUUUUAAAGUUCAAAAACAUUUAUUCAUUCUUUUCUUCAGCAAUAGUUGCUAUAUUCCAGGGUUGGCAUGUGGGCAAGGUGAACAUAGAGUUUGUCCUUAUAUUCUUGGCAAAAAAAUUUGAAAAAAUAAAAAAAUAAAUUAAAAAAAAAACCCCUUCUGUAAUCUAACCCUUGUUUACUUUUCCAGUUACAUUUCUAGCCACCCUCCAGUCUGCAAUUCUGUAAUAAUGGUGGAAACAGAUAUAGCCUGGUUUUCUCUAGUCAUUUGUCCUGGCUAGAGUUUAUAUUGGAUGUGCUUUCCAUGGAAGUGUAGGCAAGUGUUGUUGAAAAACAAAGAUGGUCGUGCUUGAAGAGAUUUAGAGAGAUUUUAAGUCAUUUAAGUCAUUUUCAAGUAAGUCAUUUCCCA